rnacentral:rRNA from 1 species
GACGUAGGGCGCGAGCGUUGUCCGGAUUUAUUGGGCGUAAAGAGCUCGUAGGCGGCUCGUUGCGUCGGCUGUGAAAACCCGCAGCUCAACUGUGGGCUUGCAGCCGAUACGGGCGGGCUGGGAUUCGGUAGGGGAGACUGGAAUUCCUGGUGUAGCGGUGAAAUGACGCAGAUAUCAGGAGGAACACCAGUGGCGAAGGCGGCUUUCUGGUCUGCUCUUGACGCUGAGGCGCGAAAGCUAGGGUAGCAAACGGG